GGAUGUGUAAGCAAUCUGGCUGCUACAUCUGUCACCCCAUUGAUCGCCAGGGUUGAUUCGGCCCAUCUGGCUGCUAGGCGGAUGUCCCCUUCCUCCCUCACCGCUCCAUGCGCGUUCAUCCUGAAGCUGUGCGCUCACUCACGCUGCACUCGGUUGAAGAGGAUGACCUUCCCUGAUAGGACUGUCCUUCAGACAAGGGUAUAUGAGUAGCUGCGCUCCCCUGCUUAACCUCCAAACCAGUCUCAAACCCAGGCAAUCUGAUUCUAGAGCGGGUACUCUACUAGUUCCAUUCAUGGUUGAAGCAAUUAU
rnacentral:snRNA from 1 species